CGUAAAUUACCCAAUCCCGGCACGGGGAGGUAGUGACGAGAAAUAACAAUAUAAGACUCUUUUAUGAUGUCUUAUAAUUGGAAUGAGUUGAGCAUAAAUCCUUCAACAAGGAUCAAGUGGAGGGCAAGUCUGGUGCCAGCAGCCGCGGUAAUUCCAGCUCCACUAGCGUAUAUUAAAAUU
rnacentral:rRNA from 1 species